rnacentral:rRNA from 1 species
UACGUAGGGGGCUAGCGUUGUCCGGAAUCAUUGGGCGUAAAGCGCGUGUAGGCGGUCCGGUAAGUCCGCUGUGAAAGUCGAGGGCUCAACCCUCGAAUGCCGGUGGAUACUGUCGGGCUUGAGUACGGGAGAGGCGAGUGGAAUUCCUGGUGUAGCGGUGAAAUGCGCAGAUAUCAGGAGGAACACCGAUUGCGAAGGCAGCUCGCUGGUUGGAUACUGACGCUGAUACGCGAAAGCGUGGGGAGCAAACAGG